rnacentral:rRNA from 1 species
UACGGGGGGGGCAAGCGGUUGUUCGGAAUUACUGGGCGUAAAGGGCUCGUAGGCGGCCAACUAAGUCGGAUGUGAAAUCCCCAGGCUUAACCUGGGAACUGCAUCCGAUACUGGAUGGCUUGAAUCCGGGAGAGGGAUGCAGAAUUCCAGGUGUAGCGGUGAAAUGCGUAGAUAUCUGGAGGAAUACCGGUGGCGAAGGCGGCAUCCUGGACCGGCAUUGACGCUGAUGAGCGAAAGCUAGGGGGAGCGAACGGG